AUUCGAUAGGAACCCAAAGCCACCCGGAGAACUAGAAAUGAAGAAGGGAAAGCGCCAACGGUUGUUUUCCGCGGCUUCCGACAAUACGGCUAACGAAGAUUCUCAGUUCCUACUUCCCUGGUAUUAGCAGGGAAAGAAUGUCUGGAUCAUGUAGUACAUUACCUCCAUUCUCCAAAAACUGCUUUGAGGUUAAGAUUUACGGAGUUUUGGGAUGAAAAAUAUGCAAACACUUGUGACGGAAGAAUUCUAUCAUUGAUUUAUUAGCAAAAUGUCAUUGUUUUCAUACGAAACGUAACUAUGAUGAUUGUAACUCAGAGAUUUGAAUAUUAUAAAUGCAAACAUCCAUUUAGAUUUCCAUCA